rnacentral:rRNA from 1 species
GACAGAGGUGCCGAGCGUUAGGCGGAAUCACUGGGCUUAAAGCGUGUGUAGGCGGACUUCUAAGUACCUUGUGAAAACGUCCCACGGCUUAACCGUGGAACUGCUUGGUAUACUGGUCGUCUUGAGCCAUCUAGGGGCUGUCGGAACAAAUGUGGAGCGGUGAAAUGCGUAGAUAUCAUUUGGAACGCCAAUGGUGAAAACAACUCGCUGGGGGUGUGCUGACGCUGAGACACGGAAAGCCAGGGGAGCGAACGGG